ensembl:snoRNA
GGCCUCCUGGUGCUUACCAAAGGCUAUGUUCUUACACUGACUAUAUAGAAAGAGGAGACAGAGCAGGCCUUCCCUAUGUACACCUCAACUCAGGCCUUGUGCCUGGGCUGUACUGUGAAAGGGAAGCCAAGG